ACGAACGCUGGCGGCGUGCUUAACACAUGCCAGUCGCACGGAAAGGCCCUGCUUUUGUGGGGUGCUCGCGUGGCGAACGGGUGAGUAACACGUGAGUAACCUGCCCUUGACUUUGGGAUAACUUCAGGAAACUGGGGCUAAUACCGGAUAGGAGCUCCUGCUGCAUGGUGGGGGUUGGAAAGUUUCGGCGGUUGGGGAUGGACUCGCGGCUUAUCAGCUUGUUGGUGGGGUAGUGGCUUACCAAGGCUUUGACGGGUAGCCGGCCUGAGAGGGUGACCGGCCACAUUGGGACUGAGAUACGGCCCAGACUCCUACGGGAGGCAGCAGUGGGGAAUAUUGCACAAUGGGCGGAAGCCUGAUGCAGCAACGCCGCGUGCGGGAUGACGGCCUUCGGGUUGUAAACCGCUUUCGCCUGUGACGAAGCGUGAGUGACGGUAAUGGGUAAAGAAGCACCGGCUAACUACGUG
rnacentral:rRNA from 1 species